CAGUUGGAUACUUAGAGAGAGGGUUUGGAUUCUGAGAAAGAGAUAGAUGGAGUGUUGGUGAAGAUUUACUCUUAAGAGGGAUAUUAAGGAGUAACCAAUUAAAAGAUGUGUCAUUUCGAACACCCUCUUGUUAAUACUUUGCAUGUUCAUUAGCUCUACUCUAGCUCUGCGUAAUCAUUUCAUUUUGACAGCUAAUGCUAUGAUUUUCACCUUGAGUUGACAAAAGGAGAAGUAGAAGAUAUGUUUUGACGUAAUAAUUAUCUAAAACAUUAAAUCUAUAUAUAUACUUAACCCAUAUAUACAUAUUGCAUUAACAUAUUGGUAACACUAAUUUUAUUUUGAACUAUAUUUUUCAGCUACAUUAAGAUAAAGAUUCAACUAAAUGUAA
rnacentral:lncRNA from 1 species